GACGAACGCUGGCGGCGUGCUUAACACAUGCAAGUCGAACGGUAAGGCCCUUCGGGGUACACGAGUGGCGAACGGGUGAGUAACACGUGGGUGAUCUGCCCUGCACUUCGGGAUAAGCCUGGGAAACUGGGUCUAAUACCGGAUAGGACCACUGCCUGCAUGGGUGGUGGUGGAAAGCUUUUGCGGUGUGGGAUGGGCCCGCGGCCUAUGAGCUUGUUGGUGGGGUGAUGGCCUACCAAGGCGACGACGGGUAGCCGGCCUGAGAGGGUGACCAGCCACACUUGGACUUAGAUACGGCCCAGACUCCUACGGGAGGAAGCAGUGGGGAAUCUUGCACAAUGGGCGCAAGCCUGAUGCGGCGACGCCGCGUGAGGGAUGACGGCCUUCGGGUUGUAAACCUCUUUCAGCACCGACGAAGCGCAAGUGACGGUAGGUGCAGAAGAAGGACCGGCCAACUACGUGCCAGCCGCCGCCGUAA
rnacentral:rRNA from 1 species